rnacentral:rRNA from 1 species
CCUACGGGUGGCAGCAGUGAGGAAUAUUGGUCAAUGGGCGCGAGCCCGAACCAGCCAAGUAGCGUGAAGGAUGACUGCCCUACGGGUUGUAAACUUCUUUUAUAAAGGAAUAAAGUGAGGCACGUGUGCCUUUUUGUAUGUACUUUAUGAAUAAGGAUCGGCUAACUCCGUGCCAGCAGCCGCGGUAAUACGGAGGAUCCGAGCGUUAUCCGGAUUUAUUGGGUUUAAAGGGUGCGUAGGCGGCCUUUUAAGUCAGCGGUGAAAGUCUGUGGCUCAACCAUAGAAUUGCCGUUGAAACUGGGGGGCUUGAGUGUGUUUGAGGCAGGCGGAAUGCGUGGUGUAGCGGUGAAAUGCGUAGAUAUCACGCAGAACCCCGAUUGCGAAGGCAGCAUACCGGCGGCGAUCUGACGCUGAGGCACGAAAGCGUGGGUAUCGAACAGGAUUAGAUACCCUGGUAGUC